AACGCACCUUGCGCUCUCGGGCUAUUCCUGAGAGCAUGCUUGUUUGAGUGUCGCUUACCCUCUCAACCCCAGUUGUCUUAUCGGCAGCUUGCUUAGGGUUGGAUCGUGACGCCUGUGGAGUCUCUUUCUAAGAGAAUCGACUGCGUUGAAAUGUAACAAGCUGAAUCCUGAAAGCGGCUUGACCCGUUGUCGUAAUUUUAAACAAUUCAAUGGGGACGCUUUGUAGGAACGGGCUUACCAUAAAGUCUUUAUAGACGUUUUAACAAAUGACCUCAAAUCAAGUAGGACUACCCGCUGAACUUAA
rnacentral:misc_RNA from 1 species